rnacentral:tRNA from 1 species
GGCCCAUUAGCUCAGAUGGUAGAGCACUUGACUUUUAAUCAAGGUGUCCCGGGUUCGAAUCCCGGAUGGACCACCA